rnacentral:lncRNA from 1 species
AUGCAGUGCAUGACUGUGUUAACAUUCACUAGAUGGUUUGUACGUGGACCUCUUCCCUCCUUCUGCAGAAUAUUGUCAGGGAUCAGAAUGCAGAGAGGACAGAAGACCCUCAUCAUCUGUGCUGUGUACGGCCAGCUCCAGAAGAAAGCAUUGUACUGCACCUGCAACAGCCAGGGUGCCUCCAGAAGCAGAUCCAGUGAGGAUACUUACGACUUUUCCAUUCCUACCAUACUGGCUUGUGUUCCAGACAACAGGGUGUUCAACUAGUCCUGUCUGUACUUUUCACUAUCAGCAGGAGCUUGCUGAAAACCGACAUUGUAGUUGCUGGCUGGGAUCACAGCUCUGCAAUUAUUUCUAACGGUAUGCAGUUUUUCUAAAAGGAUUCAAGCAAGGUCAGCAUGAUAGGCAUUUGUCUGAUGGCCUCUGGGCCUAAUGGGCAUUUUUGUUUACUUCAAGGAGGGAAAAGAGAGGAGGGGAUGAAGACCUGGGAUCUACAAUCCAGAAAAGUUCUACUAUUGGCUCUCACUAUAGAUGUUUCUGAAUGUUUCCAUCCAUGAAGGAAAUGGCUAAUAAAAUGUACACAAACUCAGCA